AUUUAGGUUAAUCGAGUGGUCCUAUGACUUUGGGGAUGACCACCCCUAGGUUUUUUGACGUGUAGAAUCCAUUUCUGGGGUUAGAUAUUUCAAAUUCUAAGUCUAAGAUGAUGAUCAACAACUAAAGGUUCUAAGAGAAUCCAAUGAAAGAUCAACGGUGAGAUCGUGUCCGAUUAAUGUAAAAUUUCAGCAAGACGAUCAUGGAGUCAGGACGGUCAUAUCUUACGAUCAGAAUCAUAAAUCAAAUUUGGACGAUAAACCGUUAGCAACCUAACAUUGUCUUGGCGAGAAAAUAAUUGAAGCUGAAAUGGAGCCGACGCUAACGUAGAGCUUUGGCUGACCUGAAACCCCGAGUAGAGCCGAAUAAAUUAUAUUAUUUUAUAUAAUAGCUAUUAAGGACUUUAUAAUUUCAUUUAAUGUUGUAUUUGGAUAAUUUUAAGUUUUUAUCUAUUGUUAUUUGGACGUUUGGUUA